UAUUGCACAAUGGGGGAAACCCUGAUGCAGCGACGCCGCGUGAGUGAAGAAGUAUNUCNNUAUGUNANGCUCUAUCAGCAGGGNNNNNAAUGACGGUACCUGACUAAGAAGCCCCGUCUAACUACGUUCCAGCAGCCGCGGUAAUACGUAGGGGUCAAGCGUUAUCCGGAUUUACUGGGUGUAAAGGGAGCGUGUGUGGUUGGGUAAGUCAGAUGUGAAAGCACGGGGCUCAACCCCGGGACUGCAUUUGAAACUAUCAAACUAGAGUGCAGGAGAGGUAAGUGGAAUUCCUAGUGUAGCGGUGAAAUGCGUAGAUAUUAGGAGGAACACCAGUGGCGAAGGCGGCUUACUGGACUGUAACUGACACUGAGGCUCGAAAGCGUGGGGAGCAAACAG
rnacentral:rRNA from 1 species